rnacentral:lncRNA from 1 species
UACAGUCAGGAUUCUACUUCGUCAAAAUUAUCUCCCCAUUACGCCAGUUAAUUUUCACAAUCGUAGAAAUGGAAGCCAUUGUAGGGAUGACGCGCUGCCAAUUUUGCUCUUGAAAACCGAUAAAUUUAUCCGCAUAGCACCCAUUACGAUCCUUAUAUGUCAGUUGUAUUUUAAAAGACAAAUGUAUCUACUAGCUAAUGAGCAUCAGUUAAUGAUCUUGUCUGCAUUAAUUUAACUUAGAAUUAUUGUCUAAUCGGUUGUCAGGUGGAAUUUUUGAAAAUUCAUAAAUAUUUAAAAAAAUUCUAAUUAAAUAUUUCGUGGAAGGGCA